rnacentral:lncRNA from 1 species
AAGACUUGUUUCUCCCCCAGGGUAGAGCUUUUGUGACAUCACACUAGAGCUGGAGGUAGAGAUAGUGACCUAGUUCUCAUGGAGUAGCACUGUUUGAGGAGGGCUCACUGGGAACAUGAUACGGUGGUCCCUAGUUUUCCUGGUUUGCCUUCCUCAAAGUAAAAUCUCUGCCUUAUGAAUGAGCUGAACAGGAUCAACUGGGACCCUGCUUUGGAUCAGCAUGACAUGCCUGGGGGGAGUUUCUAAUUUAUGAAUGAGGCUCCUUGGGGAAGAGAGACCUGAUCUCUCUGCUGCUCUUGCCUGGAAUAAAGCUCCUACAACAAGGGACUGAGAGAUGAGAAAAACCUGACAGCAUGCUCUUCACAAGUUGGAAAUGUAGUCCUACACUGAUGCUAUGAGGAAAGGGAGCCUCCAUCUUCAUCACUGUACUUACCAGAAUGAGAGCUCCUGGAACAUUUUCAUAAGAAGUGAUGUGGGGGAAGAAAAAGGACAGGAGUGAAAAUAAAUGUUUCCAGAAGAAAAAUGAGUCCAGUGGGAAUGUGUCAAACGUUUUAAUCAACAGCCUAAAUCUUUGGAGGAGAAAUGAUAAGUUCUUCUCAGGAAAUCUACCAUGAUGCCUAUACUAGUAAAGGAGCAAUCACUCUCCCUCCCAACAGAGCUGGCAUUCUUUCAGAUUGUCCCUUCUGUGCUCCAAGUUCAGAACACUUUUUAUUGAUGUAGUAUCUUUCAAAUUCAACUGAAAUGGGAAAAUAGAAUCACAAUGAGAUUUUACUAUGUUGAAAAAAGGUAAACUUACAAAUCUCAUAGUAAACAUUCUAUGUAAAACAGUGAAAAGAACGUCAACUUCUGAAUCACCCAAGUGACCUGGAUUUGAAUCCCACCAGGGAAACCAGAAAAAGCCAUUGAAUCUUCCUGACCUCAUUUUGUUCAAAG